rnacentral:rRNA from 1 species
CUGGCGGCACGCCUAACACAUGCAAGUCGAACGAAGUAGCAAUACUUAGUGGCAGACGGGUGAGUAACAUGUGGGUAUCUGCCCUAUGGCCUGGAAUAACACGAGGAAACUUGUGCUAAUACCGGAUAAGUCUUUACAGAGAAAGCUUUAUGCACCAUUGGAUGAGCCCGCACUUGAUUAGUUUGUUGGUGGGGUAAUGGCCUACCAAGACUGUGAUCAAUAGCUGAUUUGAGAGGAUGAUCAGCCACAUUGGGACUGAGACACGGCCCAAACUCCUACGGGAGGCAGCAGUGGGGAAUCUUGCACAAUGGAGGAAACUCUGAUGCAGCGAUGCCGCGUGAGUGAAGAAGGCCCUUGGGUUGUAAAGCUCUUUCGUCGGGGAAGAAAAUGACUGUACCCGAAUAAGAAGGUCCGGCUAACUUCGUGCCAGCAGCCGCGGUAAUACGAAGGGACCUAGCGUAGUUCGGAAUUACUGGGCUUAAAGAGUUCGUAGGUGGUUGAAAAAGUUGGUGGUGAAAUCCCAGAGCUUAACUCUGGAACUGCCAUCAAAACUUUUCAGCUAGAGUAUGAUAGAGGAAAGCAGAAUUUCUAGUGUAGAGGUGAAAUUCGUAGAUAUUAGAAAGAAUACCAAUUGCGAAGGCAGCUUUCUGGAUCAUUACUGACACUGAGGAACGAAAGCAUGGGUAGCGAAGAGGAUUAGAUACCCUCGUAGUCCAUGCCGUAAACGAUGUGUGUUAGACGUUGGAAAUUUAUUUUCAGUGUCGCAGCGAAAGCGAUAAACACACCGCCUGGGGAGUACGACCGC